GCAUUUCCCAACUCUAAUGGAUCACUUCGAUUCGAUCAGUGGAAGAGGCAAAAGUGGUCCGUAUUUGUUUCGCGUCGUGGUGUAAUUUAAAAUUUGGUCGUCAAUCAGUAAUUUGUUCGAUCUAAGUGGCGGCAGUGUGUGAACCUAGUAUAAGAAAGGUGCGAGGCAGCGAAGUCAUUUGCCGUUACACCACCAUCCAUUAGAAACCGCUUUUGACCCCACUCGUCGGCGUCGAGGUAAUCCCGGGGCACACGUGGCCGGAAGAGGGCCGCGUCACGUUUCUUUACGCGCCCUAGACAGGCAGGCUCAUCAAUCCAUCAGCGUCAAACCGACAGCAACGAGAACUAUUGUUCGACGAACUGACGCAUGUACCGCGUUCAAGCGUAAGACCACGCGCCAGGU